rnacentral:rRNA from 1 species
CCUACGGGAGGCAGCAGUGAGGAAUAUUGGUCAAUGGGCGAGAGCCUGAACCAGCCAAGUAGCGUGCGGGAUGACGGCCCUAUGGGUUGUAAACCGCUUUUGCCAGGGAAUAAAGUCGCCUACGUGUAGGCGUUUGUAUGUACCUGGAGAAUAAGGACCGGCUAAUUCCGUGCCAGCAGCCGCGGUAAU